UGUUUAGCAUAAGUAUGUCCCAUGCAGCAUUUAGGAUAUACUUAUACUAAAA
rfam:Felis catus isolate Cinnamon breed Abyssinian chromosome C1, whole genome shotgun sequence.